GACGAACGCUGGCGGCGUGCCUAAUACAUGCAAGUAGAACGCUGAAGGAGAAGCUUGCUUCUCUGGAUGAGUUGCGAACGGGUGAGUAACGCGUAGGUAACCUGCCUGGUAGCGGGGGAUAACUAUUGGAAACGAUAGCUAAUACCGCAUAAGAGUAGAUGUUGCAUGACAUUUGCUUAAAAGGUGCAAUUGCAUCACUACCAGAUGGACCUGCGUUGUAUUAGCUAGUUGGUGAGGUAACGGCUCACCAAGGCAACGAUACAUAGCCGACCUGAGGGGGUGAUCGGCCACACUGGGACUGAGACACGGCCCAGACUCCUACGGGAGGCAGCAGUAGGGAAUCUUCGGCAAUGGACGGAAGUCUGACCGAGCAACGCCGCGUGAGUGAAGAAGGUUUUCGGAUCGUAAAGCUCUGUUGUAAGAGAAGAACGAGUGUGAGAGUGGAAAGUUCACACUGUGACGGUAUCUUACCAGAAAGGGACGGCUAACUACGUG
rnacentral:rRNA from 1 species